rnacentral:rRNA from 1 species
UGGGGAAUAUUGGACAAUGGGCGAAAGCCUGAUCCAGCCAUGCCGCGUGUGUGAAGAAGGUCUUCGGAUUGUAAAGCACUUUAAGUUGGGAGGAAGGGCAGUAAGCGAAUACCUUGCUGUUUUGACGUUAUCGACAGAAUAAGCACCGGCUAACUCUGUGCCAGCAGCCGCGGUAAUACAGAGGGUGCAAGCGUUAAUCGGAAUUACUGGGCGUAAAGCGCGCGUAGGUGGUUCGUUAAGUUGAAUGUGAAGGCCCCGCACGCAACCUGGGAACUGCAUCCAAAACUGGCGGGCUAGAGUAGGGCGGAGGGUGGUGGAAUUUCCUGGGUAGCGGUGAAGUGCGUAGAUGUAGGACGGAACACCAGUGGCGGAGGCGACCACCUGGGCUCAUACUGACACUGAGGUGCGAAAACGUGGGGAGCAAACAGG